AGUGAACGCUGGCGGCGUGCCUAAUACAUGCAAGUCGAACGGAGUGGCGCACGGGAGAGUAAUGUAUAGCUCAUCUACCCUACACUAAAGGACAACAGUUAGCAACGACCGCUAAUACUCGUUAGUGUAGUAUGAGGGUAUAUUGUAUCAGCUAGUUGGUGAGGUAGUGGCUCACCAAGGCUAGGACGCAUAACUGGUCUGAGAGGAUGAUCAGGCACACUGGAACUGAGACACGGUCCAGACUCCUACGGGAGGGAGCAGUAGGGGAUAGUGAUCAAUGGGGGGAACCCUGAAGCAGCAACGCAGCGUGGAGGAUGACACUUUUCGGAGCGUAAACUCCGUUUGUUAGGGAAGCGGUACCUAACGAAUAAGCACCGGCUAACUCCGUGCCAGCAGCCGCGGUAAUAC
rnacentral:rRNA from 1 species